ensembl:lncRNA
CUCAUCAUGUAAUAAAAUGAAAAUCAUUAUUUAAUGAUACAAUUUAUCCAUAUAUAAUUUCAAUAUGAUUGUGUCUAUGUCUAUAAAACAAAACUAAAAAAAUGUAAUAAUAUAUUUGUUGAAACUGUGAAUGUACUAAUUUUUUCUGUAUUCUGUCUAGAAAUAGUAUAUGCAGUUGUACAGCUGAUCUGGGAGCUAUGUGUUUAAAGUACAAUCCAACAGCUGCUUAAAUGUCAUUCCCCCCAUUUUGCUUCGUGAGACUCCUGAGUCUUCAUGUAUGUUAUUUGCAUCAUAGGCUGGCUUUUGCACUUCAUUCAUGGAAACAAUUUAAGAGUCUCAUAUGGAAACCAAAGCAAUCUAGACUUAGCCCACUGAGUGAGUGUGUGUCCUGCAAAAAGCCAUACUGAAGUGAAGUCUGCCAUAGUGCAAGGUUCGACGUCAUCAAAGCUGCCACUACCUCUGCUUUUCCUUUUUCUCUAGAAAAUGCCAAGCAAAAUUCCUUGGCAUUAAGUGGAAAAUCAGAAGUGAUUGUUACAAUAUGUUGCUGGAGUUUUUUUUAAUAGAAUACACCUUCUAAUUCACCACUUUGCAGGUUUUUGUUGUUUUCUGAGUAACCAUUUUUUACAUUAUUAUUCUUUUAUUCAGAAAAACUGGCUGAUGAGUAAAGUUCGGAAGGAAUAUAUAGUCAUCAGAUUUUUAAAAAUCACAGAGUAUCAGUUUAUUUCUUGUAAGUUACUUCAGGGUGGUUACCCAAAGCCAUGAAAAUAUAUGUGAUUAUUGAAAAUACCCAGCUCAGUGCCUAACUCCAUAAAUAUUUACUUCCCUUGAUUACCUUUCCUCUAUUUUUUUCUUACUUGAAGAAGAGCAAAUUUACAUGUGUGUUGCUGAAACAAUUUUUCUUGAAGAGUGUUUGCUGCUAACAGAUCUAUAAUCAGGAAUACAAUUUAAUUUCCCUAUAUCCCUUAAAAAUAAAUCUUUUCUUUAUUUCACUUUAGCCAUCAAAUACACUAUGGUAUGGGAAACAUCAGCCAU